rnacentral:lncRNA from 1 species
GAGCAGAGCAGGAGGCAUGAGGGAAGAAGUGAACUCGAGAAAAACCUGAUCAUUCAGUGCCUCAUAGGCAAGGCACACAUUGUGAAGGAAUUUGCUUUAGGCUUGAGACGGAGAAAAGGUACCUACUUUCCCAGACUCCUUGCAGUUGGAAUUUGCCAUGUGACCCACUUUUGGCAAUAGAGAGCCAUGUUUUUUGGAUCUAUGGCUGUAACUUUAUGACCCAGAGAAGUGAAACUAAGGAAAUGCCAUCAAAUGAGGAUGACAGAGAAGGAGGCUAGAAAGAGAGGGGUUACUCCAUAAGAUC